UUCCUCGUUCCUACUGAUUGG
rnacentral:piRNA from 1 species